UACGUAGGAGGCGAGCGUUGUCCGGAAUUACUGGGCGUAAAGGGUGCGCAGGCGGCUUGAUAAGUUGGAAGUGAAAUCCCUGGGCUUAACCCAGGAAUUGCUUUCAAAACUAUUAGCUAGAGUCUCGGAGAGGUUAGCGGAAUUCCCAGUGUAGAGGUGAAAUUCGUAGAUAUUGGGAGGAACACCUGUGGCGUAAGCGGCUAACUAGACGAGUACUGACGCUCAGGCACGAAAGCGUGGGGAUCAAACAGG
rnacentral:rRNA from 1 species